AUACGUAGGGUGCAAGCGUUGUCCGGAUUUAUUGGGUUUAAAGGGUGCGUAGGCGGUUGAAUAAGUUAGUGGUGAAAUCGUUCCGCUCAACGGGAUAUCCGCCAUUAAAACUGAUCAACUUGAGUAUGACAGAGGAAUUUGGAAUGCGUAGUGUAGCGGUGAAAUGCAUAGAUAUUACGCAGAACACCAAUUGCGAAGGCAGAGUUCUAUGUCAUAACUGACGCUGAGGCACGAAAGCGUGGGUAGCGAACAGGAUUAGAAACCCCAGUAGUCC
rnacentral:rRNA from 1 species